rnacentral:hammerhead_ribozyme from 1 species
AUCUAACUGACGAGUCCCGAAUAGAACGAAACGUGCGUCCCGGAU